CAUUGAAUCAGGGCCGAGGAAAGUCCGGACUCCGCAGGGCGGUGUGGUGGAUAACUCCACCGGGAGCGAUCCCAGGGAAAGUGCCACAGAAAAUAUACCGCCGACCUCGAGAGAGAAUCGGUAAGGGUGAAAUGGUGAGGUAAGAGCUCACCGCGAGAGUGGUGACACUUCUCGGCAAGGUAAACCCCACACGGAGCAAGACCGAAUAGGGGAGCAGAGGCUGCUCGUUUCGCGCGGACUCGUCCGCAUAACUCCCGGGUAGGUCGCAAAGAUGAAUGGUCUCGGGCUGGACCCAGGUCCAGUCAACAGAAUCCGGCUUACAACCU
rnacentral:RNase_P_RNA from 1 species